CUCUUCUUCUUUAAUUCUCGCCUCUCUCUUUUGCUGUUCUGAUUGUUCAUUUUCUUACAAAUGUUAAAUCAAAUUAAUUUUGCUGUGAUGAAUUUCUGGGAUCUCUUUCAAGGAGAGAAGAAUUUGCCGAACGGAAAUGUGAGGAUGCAAAUAAGGGAUAAAGCUAGAUACAAAAUCAGAUAUGCAAAGCAGAUUAAGAAAGAUACCCAAUUUAUGGUAUUUUCUGGCUGAAAUUGAGGAGCUGGAGCAAAAGUCUGAUUUAAAGGCAGAGAAAGCAUUGCAGAUGCUGUUCGAAUCUG